GUGCACCAGGCGCGAAUCUUUCUCAAUGGGGGCAACCCUGAAAGAGCGACGCCGCGUGGAGGAUGAAGGUCUUCGGGUUGUAAACUCCUGUCAUUUGGGAACAAGCUGCACGUAUUUACUGUACGUGUAUUGAUAGUACCAGAAGAGGAAGAGACGGCUAACUCUGUGCCAGCAGCCGCGGUAAUACAGAGGUUUCAAGCGUUGUUCGGAUUCAUUGGGCGUAAAGGGUGCGUAGGUGGCGCCGUAAGUCAGGUGUGAAAUUUCGGAGCUUAACUCCGAAACUGCAUUUGAUACUGCGGUGCUUGAGGACUGGAGAGGAGACUGGAAUUUACGGUGUAGCAGUGAAAUGCGUAGAGAUCGUAAGGAAGACCAGUGGCGAAGGCGGGUCUCUGGACAGUUCCUGACACUGAGGCACGAAGGCCAGGGGAGCAAACGGGAUUAGAUACCCCUGUAGU
rnacentral:rRNA from 1 species